AUCAUUAUUAAUCAUUGGUAGCACUGGUGCUCCCUACUUUAAACAAUUGGCUAAAUGUGACCACACCUCCGUGUUUCUGAUGUAAGGUACUCCCGUUACUCCCAUGUAGUUAGUUGGUAUCCUCAGUAAUUAGCCUGACUUCUGGAGGUAUCCUCAGUAAUUAGCCUGACUUCUGGAGGUAUCCUCAGUAAUUAGCCUGAUGUCUGGAGGUAUCCUCAGUAAUUAGCCUGACUUCUGGCGGUAUCCUCAGUAAUUAGCCUGACGUCUGGAGGUAUACUCAUCUCAGAGAGAGGUUAGGGAGAAGGUCACAGUACUCAUCUCAGAGAGGUUAGGGAGAGUGUUUUGG